GCUGUAAAUUGUAAUCAUCAAAGC
ensembl:ncRNA